rnacentral:lncRNA from 1 species
AUGCCUAGAUCCAGCGGUGUGAGAUUUCAAAUCUGUUCCCCAGCCACCAUGGAGGAACGGAGGGGGAGAUUCCGGAACUUAACCACCCUUCAUCAAAAGGGAAGCGAGGUGGGUGGCCUGGCGCAAGUGUUUUGGACUUUGGCAGUCGGGUUAGGUUACAAUGAUGCAGCACUAAAAGAUUUGUUUAAUAAUUGCCUGGAUGAUCCUUUACCUCAAUGGGAGAUGAAGGGGUUAGAGAUCCUGGACUUUUGGGGGUUUACCAAAUACAUGCACCAUCGUGCUCAGUGGGAUGCAACAACCACACCUGAGUUUCCAGACAAGACUGCCACCUGCCCAGCGCCACAGCACAAGAUGGCCACCAGCCUAGCACCACAGCACAGGAUGGUCGCCAGCCCAGAGCCACAGCUUAAGAUGGACGACUCAACGCCUGACUCAACGCCGUCGACUCGCCAUCGUGGAGGACGGAGGAGGAGGAGACAGGCGUCGACCGUCCCUCAAGGCCUGGAGAAAGUCCCAGAGGCCGAGGCUGUUCCCGAUGUGGUGCCCGAUGCAGUUCCCGAGGCGGAGCCCGAUGCAGUUCCCGAGGCGGAGCCCGAUGCAGUUCCCGAGGCGGAGCCCGAUGCAGUUCCCGAGGCGGAGCCCGAUGCAGUUCCCGAGGCGGAGCCCGAUGCAGUUCCCGAGGCGGAGCCCGAUGCAGUUCCCGAGGCCGAGGCUGUUCCCGAGGCCGAGGCGGAGCCCGAGGCUGUGCCCGAUGCCGAGGCGGUGCCCGAGGCUGUGCCCGAUGCCGAGGCGGUGCCCGAGGUGGUGCCCAAUGCAGUUCCCGAGGCGGAGCCCAAUGCAGUUCCCGAGGCGGAGCCCGAUGCAGUUCCCGAGGCGGAGCCCGAUGCCGAGGCGGUGCCCGAUGCUGUUCCAGAGGCCGAUGCUGUUCCCGAUGCAGUUCCCGAUGCCGAGGUGGUGCCCGAUGCCGAGGCGGUGCCCGAUGCUGUUCCAGAGGCCGAAGCGGUGCCCGAGGCUGUUCCCGAUGCCGAGGCGGAGCCCGAGGCUGUUCCCGAUGCCGAGGCGGUGCCCGAGGUGGUGCCCAAUGCCGAGGCGGUGCCCGAUGCUGUUCCCGAGGCCGAUGCUGUUCCCGAUGCCGAGGCGGUGCCCGAUGCCGAGGCGGUGCCCGAUGCCGAGGCGGUGCCCGAUGCCGUUCCAGAGGCCGACGCGGUGCCCGAGGCUGUUCCCGAUGCCGAGGCGGAGCCCGAGGCUGUUCCCGAUGCCGAGGCGGUGCCCGAGGUGGUGCCCAAUGCCGAGGCGGUGCCCGAUGCUGUUCCAGAGGCCGAUGCCGAGGCGGUGCCCGAUGCCGAGGCGGUGCCCGAUGCCAUUCCAGAGGCCGAGGCGGUGCCCGAUGCCGAGGCAGUGCCCGAUGCCGUUCCAGAGGCCGACGCGGUGCCCGAGGCUGUUCCCGAUGCCGAGGCGGAGCCCGAGGCUGUUCCCGAUGCCGAGGCGGUGCCCGAGGUGGUGCCCAAUGCCGAGGCGGUGCCCGAUGCUGUUCCAGAGGCCGAUGCCGAUGCAGUUCCCGAGGCGGUGCCCGAGGCUGUUCCCGAUGCCGAGGCGGUGCCCGAUGCAGUUCCCGAGGCGGUGCCCGAUGCAGUUCCCGAGGCGGUGCCCGAUGCAGUUCCCGAGGCGGUGCCCGAUGCAGUUCCCGAGGCGGUGCCCGAUGCAGUUCCCGAGGCGGUGCCCGAUGCCGAGGCGGAGCCCGAUGCUGUUCCCGAGGCCGAUGCUGUUCCCGAGGCCGAUGCUGUUCCCGAGGCUGUUGCCGAGGCGGUGCCCGAGGUGGUGCCCGAUGCAGUUGCCGAGGCGGUGCCCGAUGUCGAGGCGGUGCCCGAUGCUGUUCCAGAGGCCGAGGCGGUGCCCGAUGCUGUUCCAGAGGCCGAUGCGGUGCCCGAUGCCGAGGCGGUGUCCGAUGCUUUUCCGGAGGCCGAGGCUGUUCCCGAGGCCGAGGCUGUUCCCGAGGCCGAUGCUGUUCCCGAGGCGGUGCCCGAGGCUGUUCCAGAGGCCGAUGCCGAGGCGGUGCCCGAUGCUGUUCCAAAGGCCGAGACCGAAGUGGUGGCCGAGGCGGUGCCCGAUGCUGUUCCGGAGGCCGAGGCGGUGCCCGAUGCUGUUCCAGAGGCCGAUGCGGUGCCCGAUGCCGAGGCGGAGCCCGAGGCCGAUGCUGUUCCCUAG